ACUGUGAACAUAUGUAACCUGCUACUGACAUGCUGUCAGCCAUUUUGCUGUUUAUUCAUCAUCUUAAAAUAUAAUCAAAGAAGAAUAUUUACUCUAAGAAAUAAGAAGAAACUAUGUUUUAUUGCUACAAUUCUGGACUGUUCUUUUUGGAUUGCAAAAGGAAAGGUUAUUUUGAAAGCGUGUCUUGUCAGAUGUUGCCAGGGGGGAAAGGUGAAAUGUGUGCUUAAGUUGUGAAAGAGGAAGUCAGGCUUAUAUGUGUUAACUCUUAUCAUAGACAAGCGAUAUUUUAGCGAAGUAAGACGCAUGACUGUGGUCAAGUUAUCUGUUAGAAAGAUCAUGGGAUGCUUAAACUUUUGAACCUUAAAUUUGUCAGUUAUGCUAGAAUUUAGCCAAUAAGAAAUAAGACCAUAUUUGGAGUUCUGAUUCAAGCUAAACGAAAGGCCAGUUCCGGGUCAUAUGUAUAAAAUAUGAGGAAUUGUAACAUGAUGUUAGAUUGCUUCUUGCCAAUCUCCAUGAGAUAUCUCUGUGUAUUGUAAUGGUCAAUUAAACGCUUUUUAUUGAACCUGGUAAUAUUUUUGUCUACUUCCACAGUUGGGGGCUCGUCCGGGAUCAGAAUACCACAGACACCAGCGGAACACCUGC
rnacentral:lncRNA from 1 species